rnacentral:rRNA from 1 species
UGAGGAAUAUUGGUCAAUGGGCGAAAGCCUGAACCAGCCAAGUCGCGUGAGGGAAGACGGUCCUAUGGAUUGUAAACCUCUUUUGCCGGGGAGCAAUGCCAUUCUUGCGAGAAUGGAGGGAGAGUACCCGGAGAAAAAGCAUCGGCUAACUCCGUGCCAGCAGCCGCGGUAAUACGGAGGAUGCGAGCGUUAUCCGGAUUUAUUGGGUUUAAAGGGUGCGUAGGCGGGCUUUUAAGUCAGCGGUCAAAUGUCGGGGCUCAACCCCGGCCUGCCGUUGAAACUGGAGGCCUUGAGUGAGCGAGAAGUAUGCGGAAUGCGUGGUGUAGCGGUGAAAUGCAUAGAUAUCACGCAGAACUCCGAUUGCGAAGGCAGCAUACCGGCGCUCAACUGACGCUGAGGCACGAAAGCGUGGGGAUCGAACAGG